GUGAACGCUGGCGGUCGGCCUCACACAUGCCAGUCGCACGGCAGCACCGGAGAGCUUGCUCUCUGGGUGGCGAGUGGCGGACGGGUGAGGAAUACAUCGGAAUCUGCCCAGUCGUGGGGGAUAACGCAGGGAAACUUACGCUAAUACCGCAUACGACCUUCGGGUGAAAGAGGGGGAUCGCAAGACCUCUCGCGAUUGGAUGAGCCGAUGUCGGAUUAGCUAGUUGGCGGGGUAAUGGCCCACCAAGGCGACGAUCCGUAGCUGGUCUGAGAGGAUGAUCAGCCACACUGGAACUGAGACACGGUCCAGACUCCUACGGGAGGCAGCAGUGGGGAAUAUUGGACAAUGGGCGCAAGCCUGAUCCAGCCAUACCGCGUGGGUGAAGAAGGCCUUCGGGUUGUAAAGCCCUUUUGUUGGGAAAGAAAUCUUUCAGGCUAAUACCCUGGGAGGAUGACGGUACCCAAAGAAUAAGCACCGGCUAACUUCGUG
rnacentral:rRNA from 1 species